AGCACAGAGGAGCUUGCUCCUUGGGUGGCGAGUGGCGGACGGGUGAGGAAUACAUCGGAAUCUACUUUUUCGUGGGGGAUAACGUAGGGAAACUUACGCUAAUACCGCAUACGACCUACGGGUGAAAGCAGGGGACCUUCGGGCCUUGCGCGAUUGAAUGAGCCGAUGUCGGAUUAUCUAGUUGGCGGGGUAAAGGCCCACCAAGGCGACGAUCCGUACCUGGUCUGAGAGGAUGAUCAGCCACACUGGAACUGAGACACGGUCCAGACUCCUACGGGAGGCAGCAGUGGGGAAUAUUGGACAAUGGGCGCAAGCCUGAUCCAGCCAUACCGCGUGGGUGAAGAAGGCCUUCGGGUUGUAAAGCCCUUUUGUUGGGAAAGAAAUCCAGCCGGCUAAUACCUGGUUGGGAUGACGGUACCCAAAGAAUAAGCACCGGCUAACUUCGUGCCAGCAGCCGCGGUAAUACGAAGGGUGCAAGCGUUACUCGGAAUUACUGGGCGUAAAGCGUGCGUAGGUGGUUGUUUAAGUCUGUUGUGAAAGCCCUGGGCUCAACCUGGGAACUGCAGUGGAAACUGGACAACUAGAGUGUGGUAGAGGGUA
rnacentral:rRNA from 1 species